GAGGCUUUGAAAAUUGCUCAAUUCAAAUUUCAUUUAAAUUUAGACAUGAUGACAUGAAUAUCAAGCAAAGACAACAAGGCUAAUCUAGGGCUGUGACAAAUAUAGCUCGGCAGAAGACUAAAUGUAUGUGUCCGUAAUGCUAAUACUUACCACGUCUGUGCUUAUACUUGUUGCAUCUCUUGAUCUCUGAUAUAUAUGCUGAUACACGCAGAGAAUGAUAGACAAGCGAGGAAACUUGCGGGAUAUUACCACCGCAGGGCCGGCUAAAAGUUUAAAUGAUUCGUCUAGCCAAUACAUCGACGGUAGAAGAAAUGAUCAAUCAUCUGUUAAGAGUAUUUUGACACUUUUCACAAAACUAGAUGACUCGCUGUGCUGCUUCUGGAUGGGAAGUGAACGCUUAGUAAUAUACAAUUGUUGGUAGGCCAGCUUGGUUGGCAUAGAAUGCUCGUCUCUGUGUGAGGUAGAAUGAGAAAUUGAAGAGGCAACAAAUGGUCUUCGAUUUAUGAACAUGCAUGCACCGUGUACUUAGGAUGCUCCAAUUUGGAAAUAUUGUGCAGCGCCGAAAAUGAACUUAUGGUAGACGAAUUAAGUGUUCGUCCAAAGAUGCAAUCUGCACAUUUUAUAGGUUGAUACUUUGGGAUUUUUGGUUUUAUCGUAACAUAGGUUCACAAUCGACAAUUUGACUUGUGACUGUGGCCGCACAGUCAAACCAUGUGACUUGCACCACGCAGAGAAUGAUGCAAUUCUGGACUGAGGACUGAGGUCAAGGUGAACUGGUGCUAACACGUGGUCAACUUCCUUGGC
rnacentral:lncRNA from 1 species